rnacentral:misc_RNA from 1 species
CCCAAGCCAUUGCCGUUCUCACUAUCGCGAUCCCUUUCUUUUGCCACUUCGAAGUUCUCCCUAAUUGUCGUCUAAUUGAACUGAAGGAUACAAGGAGCCUUGCCACAUCUCGAGCUCUGUUCAGUUCAGUGCGAUUGAGGAAAGAUGGCAACUCGGCUUCAGAUAGAUGUGGAUGACUCAGUCCUCUUGCGUGUCACUCAUGCCAACCUCAAGACCUUCUCUGCCAGUGUUCGCUUCUCCCUUCAGUCUACAGUAGAAUCUGUAAAAGAGAAGCUGUGGAGGAAAUGUGGGACAUCAGUUAAUUCAAUGUCCUUGGAGCUUUAUGAUGACACUAACUCCAAAAUUUCUGAUUUAACUGAUAAUUCCAGACCCCUUGGUUUUUAUUCUCCUCUUGAUGGGUUUCGGCUACAUGUAAUAGAUCUUGACCCUUCGUCAGUAACAUCGGGUGGAUGGCUGGAAGACACUUCAUUGGUGGAGAAAUACACAAUUUCAGAAGAGGACUACGACAAACGCAGUGGCACUUUCAGAAAAUUUAAAGAAAAAUUGGUCUCUCAAAAUCCAUCAGCCUUUGAGCCUAAGAUAACUGACAACUACAUGGAAGACCUUUGUGCACAUAUCAAGGUGGGAGACAGAUGUGAAGUUGAACCAGGGGAGAAAAGAGGGGUUGUCAAAUUUGUUGGUCGAGCAGAAUCUCUUGCACCAGGUUUUUGGGUUGGAGUUCAAUAUGAUGAACCAUUGGGGAAACAUGAUGGCAUGGUGAAAGGAGUACGCUACUUUGACUGCCCUCCACUUCAUGGUGCAAUGGUUAGGUCUGAUAAAGUAAAGGUUGGUGAAUAUCCAGAAAGAGAUCCCUUUGAGGAUGAAGAAAUAUGAACUAGAGAUGGCAAAAUAGUCCUUUUCCUGUAUGCGUUUCAUAAUCAUCACAUUUUUUUAAUGUGAGAAUUGUGUACAUUCAAUUAUUAUUAUUAUUUUUGAGGGCAAGGGGUAGGGUGUUGGUGUUUGUUUCUGAGCAUCUGAGUAUCUGAGCAAUGUUUUUGUAUCUGAAAAUGGCAGAAUAUGAUGAAUUACUCUUCCUUUUUUUUUUUUUUUUUUUUUU